rnacentral:lncRNA from 1 species
UGGUUUUGUUCUUGCUGGAUCCUAGCUCGAAACAAAAUUGUCUACUUGUCUAGAGCACUCAUGAUGAGGAUCCUGGCAGCAAACGAAGAAAAGAGGGUGAUUUUGAGAUUGAAACUCUUAUUUCAAUGAGACUUACCAGUUGCUAGUGGAGUGUUGCUGGGGCAAUGGAUGCUGUGAUUCAGCUGUGGGUUGCGACAGCCUCUCUGCGAUCUCCCUCACAACUGCAUCGGAAACAUAUAAAACCACGAGACAAUUUCAUCUCUCUUCUUACUUGUUCUCAGUGACUUCUUUGUCAAUGUAGGUGAUGGAGCUGCUGGCGUUUGAGAUCCAAUUAGCUUCUCAGAUGGACUCAUGCUGGGAUCCAAGAACGAUCUAUCGAAGACUCAACUUU